UGAAAGGGAAGACACCAAAUUACCAGGCGCCUUUAUCUGCGCACUUCCAGGUUGGGUGUGAUUGUACAUUAUGUGGGGUAAUGAUCAUGACUGCAGGCGAGUAUUUAUAUGCUAAAGCAUCUGCUAGACUCGCGCUCUCUCUCUAUCAUCAGCUGAGAGACUUUGAUCUGGCAUCAUCUUGGUGGAGAAGGUGAUGAGAAAAACAAUAGUUUUAAACGUCGAGAGAUGGGCUGGAACGUUCCAUAGGGAUAUAGGCAGACAGAGAUGGAAAAACGGUUACCUCAGCAGACCUAAAAGGCUGUUUGGUUGGGUUGAAAAAGCGGUAAUUAUGAGUAAGCUUUCUGAUCGAUCUAAACUGAUCCAAACCACGGCAAACCACACUGUAAACAUCCCUGCAGCUCGAAAUGGAUCUCCACACGUAAACAGUGUUCCUUUUAAGAUGACGUCAUGAAUCCCUCCACGUUUGAAUCCCUCCAGUCACCUGGCUCCAUUAUGG